GGAUGCGGGGGGAGGGGAGGGGGAAGAUGUUUUGAGUCAAAAUCUGAACAGCCAUCUUUAAGCCUCAGCAGGUGGUGAACUAGUCAUCAUGUUGUAUAUAAUUCAGUGUUAUCAGAUGCAAAAUACCGACUGGGGGCUCUGCCAUCACCUGGUCACACUCAAUGUAGCUGCAUAGAACUAUAGCGUUGAUAAAGCCUUUGGUUAUUGCAACAGAAAUCUCCGACAGCCCUUGCCUAAACCCUACAAAGUAAAUCAUGACAUGACCAAAGGCCCAGUUGUUUGUUUUUAUGCUAUUGGUGUGUGUUGGCUCCCAUGACCUCUGGAGUGAUGUAAAUACCAGCUGGGUUAGGUGGGGGUGUCCCUCAUCGCCGGGGAUUCCUCGCAAAGGGCAGGAGCAGUUUAUCAGCACUUUUGCCAUCCGUAAGUAUGAAGUUAGUCUAGUACAAUAUUAAUGCCUUGGAGCAUUAGUAGCCAAAGCUCAACAAUAUCGUGUAACUCAGCUAAUGUGUGUCCUUUCUAUUUGAUGGGUAGGCGCUGCUAUCUGUAGUAAAUGUGUUUUUCUGGAGGAGAAGUGCAACGAGGGCCUGUUAAGUAUUGUGUGGUUAAUAUGCUCAAGCAUUGCCAAGUAAGCAAGAGGUUUUGCAGCAUCCAGGCGUAAUUCAACAUCAGUAUUAUAAAUGGUAGCAUACUACCUAGUUUAUAUGUAGGGUCAGUUUAACCAAUAACAAAUAGUUAUUAGCUUUUUUAUUACAUUUUUCCUUUACUGAUUUGGACUAGUGGGUUUAUGUCUAAUGUUUGUAAAAUGAUUUAGACUGCAUGGAUGUGUAAUAUAAACCACAUUUAAUGGAUUAUGAGCCACUUAAUUAAUGUGCUAUGAAAUCUUGGAUUACCUGUGUUUUAUAUUCUGCAGACGAUUUUGCAGUGGGUUCGCUAAAACUUGUAAAAUUGCUUAGAUAUAUUUUCAUUUAAAUCCAAGAAUGUGCACAAUAUUGGAAGGUGAUUAUCCAGGGGAUAAUCACGCUUUUUUUGAUAUCUCUAUUAAUUCUGAAGUUGAAUGCUAAGAGUUUAAAGGGGGGUGGGAGGGAAGCGAGAAUGAGAGGACGAGAGCUUGCGGUGAUGAGUGGACGUCGUUUCAGAGGGUAUACUAGGCUGCAAGAUCGUCUCUAUAGAUUUUUGAAAUGCUCCUGGUGCAUUUUAUAUUUCAUUGUAUCAUAUUUUCUAUAAAAUGCAAUUUCUGUAAA